AAUCAUUAUGCAGGGAUUUCUAAACCCAUUGAACAUAAUGAUCCAACGCCAUCUCCCAAUCUUGAAUUCUUUGUAUUUGAGGCAGAGGAAGAUGACGUUGAGGGGAUUCCUGAUGAGAUUUCCUAUCCUUCUUGAGCACGAAACGGAGCUCAUUCAGCUGUAGCUUGAGAAUCAGCAAAACAGUCAAACUGGGGCAUUAUAAAUGCAAUAUAAUAAAAAA
rnacentral:lncRNA from 1 species